CAUGCCGCGUGUGUGAAGAAGGCUUUCGGGUUGUAAAGCACUUUCAGUGAGGAGGAAGGCCUUAAGGUUAAUACCCUUGAGGAUUGACGUUACUCACAGAAGAAGCACCGGCUAACUCCGUGCCAGCAACGCGGUGACUGAGCGGGCUGGCAAGGCGCAUA
rnacentral:rRNA from 1 species